AUACGGAGGAUGCGAGCGUUAUCCGGAUUUAUUGGGUUUAAAGGGUGCGUAGGCGGACGAUUAAGUCAGCUGUGAAAUGCCCGCGCUUAACGCGGGAAGUGCAGUUGAUACUGGGUGUCUUGAGUACAGUAGAGGCAGGCGGGAUUCGUGGGGGAGCGGUGGAAUGCUUAGAUAUCACGAAGAACUCCGAUUGCGAAGGCAGCCUGCUGGACUGUAACUGACGCUGAUGCUCGAAAGUGUGGGUAUCAAACAGGAUUAGAUACCCUGGUAGUCCACACAGUAAACGAUGAAUACUCGCUGUUUGCGAUAUACAGUAAGCGGCCAAGCGAAAGCGUUAAGUAUUCCACCUGGGGAGUACGCCGGCAACGGUGAAACUCAAAGGAAUUGACGGGG
rnacentral:rRNA from 1 species